GACGAACGCUGGCGGCGUGCCUAAUACAUGCAAGUAGAACGCUGAAGGAGGAGCUUGCUCUUCUGGAUGAGUUGCGAACGGGUGAGUAACGCGUAGGUAACCUGCCUGGUAGCGGGGGAUAACUAUUGGAAACGAUAGCUAAUACCGCAUAACAGUAGAUGUUGCAUUACAUUUACUUAAAAGGUGCAAUUGCAUCACUACCAGAUGGACCUGCGUUGUAUUAGCUAGUUGGUGGGGUAACGGCUCACCAAGGCGACGAUACAUAGCCGACCUGAGAGGGUGAUCGGCCACACUGGGACUGAGACACGGCCCAGACUCCUACGGGAGGCAGCAGUAGGGAAUCUUCGGCAAUGGACGGAAGUCUGACCGAGCAACGCCGCGUGAGUGAAGAAGGUUUUCGGAUCGUAAAGCUCUGUUGUAAGAGAAGAACGAGUGUGAGAGUGGAAAGUUCACACUGUGACGGUAUCUUACCAGAAAGGGACGGCUAACUACGUG
rnacentral:rRNA from 1 species